GUCGAACGCCGGCGGCGUGUCUAAGGCAUGCAAGUCGAACGUUCAAAGUUGGUGCUUGCACCGACUACGAAAGUGGCAAACGGGAGAGUAACGCAUUGGUAACUCACCUUGAACUCGUGAAUAACCCAUGGAAACGUGGGCUAAUACACGAUGUGGAUGGGGGGUCUUAUGACAUUCCCAUUGAAAGUUCCGACGGUUCAAGAGAGGCCUAUGUCCUAUUAGCUUGUUGGUGAGGUAAUAGCUCACCAAGGCAAUGACGGGUACCGGGCGUGAGAGCGUGACCCGGCUCACUGGGACUGAGACACUGCCCAGACUCCUACGGGAGGCUGCAGUCAAGAAUCUUCCGCAAUGCACGAAAGUGUGACGGAGCGACGCCGCGUGCCGGAUGAAGGCCUUCGGGUUGUAAACGGCUGUUCUGAGGGACAAAUUUGUGAUGGUACCUCAGCAGAAAGUGGUUGCUAACUCUGUGCCAGCAGCAGCGGUAAUACAGAGACCACGAGCGUUGACCGGAUUUAUUGGGCGUAAAGCGUGCGUAGGCGGUUUCGUAAGUCAUUCGUUAAAUCUUCAGGCUCAACCUGGAGGCAGCGGGUGAUACUGCGAAACUAGAGGACGGGAGAGGAAGGCGGAAUGCCCGGUGUAGGGGUAAAAUCCGUUAAGAUCGGGUAGAACACCAAAUGCGAAAGCAGCCUUCUGGRACGUUUCUGACGCUGUUGCACGAAAGCGUGGGUAGCGAAUGGGAUUAGAUACCCCAGUAGUCCACGCCGUAAACGAUGGAUGCUAGGUAUUGAGAGUAUCGACCCUCUCAGUGCCGUUGAACCAAGCUAACGCGUUAAGCAUCCCGCCUGGGGAGUACGGCCGCAAGGCUAAAACUCAAAGGAAUAGACGGGGACCCGCACAAGCGGUGGAUCAUGUGGUUUAAUUCGAUAGCACGCGAGAAACCUCACCUGGGCUCAACUACUAGCUGCAAACCUUCUGACAAGAAGGCUCCUUCGAGGGUGCUAGAUAGGUGCUGCAUGGUUGUCGUCAGCUCGUGUCGUGAGGUGUACCCUUAAAUGGAGCAACAAGGG
rnacentral:rRNA from 1 species